rnacentral:rRNA from 1 species
UACAGAGGGUACAAGCGUUGUUCGGAAUUAUUGGGCGUAAAGCGCGUGUAGGCGGCUUUGCAAGUCGGGUGUGAAAGCCCUCAGCUCAACUGAGGAAGUGCGCCCGAAACUGCAGAGCUUGAGUACCGGAGAGGAUGGUGGAAUUCCCCAAGUAGAGGUGAAAUUCGUAGAUAUGGGGAGGAACACCGGUGGCGAAGGCGACCAUCUGGACGGAUACUGACGCUGAGACGCGAAAGCGUGGGUAGCAAACAGG